rnacentral:rRNA from 1 species
CCGCAUGAAGCAGGGAUCCCGCAUGGGAAUAUUUGCUAAAGAUUCAUCGCUGAUAGAUAGGCAUGCGUUCCAUUAGGCAGUUGGCGGGGUAACGGCCCACCAAACCGACGAUGGAUAGGGGUUCUGAGAGGAAGGUCCCCCACAUUGGUACUGAGACACGGACCAAACUCCUACGGGAGGCAGCAGUGAGGAAUAUUGGUCAAUGGCCGAGAGGCUGAACCAGCCAAGUCGCGUGAGGGAUGAAGGUUCUAUGGAUCGUAAACCUCUUUUAUAAGGGAAUAAAGUGCGGGACGUGUCCCGUUUUGUAUGUACCUUAUGAAUAAGGAUCGGCUAACUCCGUGCCAGCAGCCGCGGUAAUACGGAGGAUCCGAGCGUUAUCCGGAUUUAUUGGGUUUAAAGGGUGCGUAGGCGGCCUUUUAAGUCAGCGGUGAAAGUCUGUGGCUCAACCAUAGAAUUGCCGUUGAAACUGGGGGGCUUGAGUAUGUUUGAGGCAGGCGGAAUGCGUGGUGUAGCGGUGAAAUGCAUAGAUAUCACGCAGAACCCCGAUUGCGAAGGCAGCCUGCCAAGCCAUUACUGACGCUGAUGCACGAAAGCGUGGGGAUCAAACAGGAUUAGAUACCCUGGUAGUCCACGCAGUAAACGAUGAUCACUAGCUGUUUGCGAUACACUGUAAGCGGCACAGCGAAAGCGUUAAGUGAUCCACCUGGGGAGUACGCCGGCAACGGUGAAACUCAAAGGAAUUGACGGGGGCCCGCACAAGCGGAGGAACAUGUGGUUUAAUUCGAUGAUACGCGAGGAACCUUACCCGGGUUUGAACGCAUUCGGACCGAGGUGGAAACACCUUUUCUAGCAAUAGCCGUUUGCGAGGUGCUGCAUGGUUGUCGUCAGCUCGUGCCGUGAGGUGUCGGCUUAAGUGCCAUAACGAGCGCAACCCUUGCCACUAGUUACUAACAGGUAAAGCUGAGGACUCUGGUGGGACUGCCAGCGUAAGCUGCGAGGAAGGCGGGGAUGACGUCAAAUCAGCACGGCCCUUACAUCCGGGGCGACACACGUGUUACAAUGGCGUGGACAAAGGGAGGCCACCUGGCGACAGGGAGCGAAUCCCCAAACCACGUCUCAGUUCGGAUCGGAGUCUGCAACCCGACUCCGUGAAGCUGGAUUCGCUAGUAAUCGCGCAUCAGCCAUGGCGCGGUGAAUACGUUCCCGGGCCUUGCACAAGGCGCCCGUC